rnacentral:lncRNA from 1 species
GAAAAAAUAAACAUAGAAAAUUUUGUAUCUUGACAUGAUUUCAAUAAAAGAAAUUGAAUUUGAGAUAACUAGAAUUCAUAUUCCAUGUAAAACAUUUCCUCCCUUAGACGUUCAUUACAACAAUUUGAAGUAUACUAUUGCAUAGUAAUCCCGCAGCUAGACGAUAUCAUAUACAUACAAGUAAUAAAAGGAUAUCGAUUCCACGAAGACAUAAUCUACUUAUUAUAGCUUUGAUGAAGAAACACAUCCAAUUAUUUCUAUUCGAUUUUGAUAUUGUCUACUUGUUAACUAAAAUAAGUAAUUAACAAGCAACAAAGCCUUAGAAGACUAAGUAGAAAUCAAAUCCAAAAUAAACUAAAGCUUCCUUUUAAGUAAGGAAGUAUAUCAAAUAAUUUAAAUAGACAUGGUUUUUAUCGCCUUAUAAAUGAGAGAAACAAAAUACAUAAUGGCAAUAGUUAUUGGAGGCAAAAUGUGAUAGCUAACUAAUUAUUCAGGCGACUUUGUUCCUUCGAGUCUUCCCAUUUUUGUAACCGACGCUGCGCGUUCUGCACCUGAAAGUUACACGAAGUGUUCGAUUAAAUUGAGAAUUGGCAAGAAGACUCGGAUUGGUUCUCUUUGCUCUCCACAAAUUUCUUAUCUUAUUUUAACUAAAUGUAAAUAUUUAUAGUGAAAAUUCAAAUAUAAUUACACUCUAAGGUACUAAAAUCUUAAUGGUUAAUAUAAAAUAUAAAACAAUGUGAAAUAGGUACCUCCUUUUUCCAGUCAGUCCGAAUCGUGACCCAUAAUAAGAUUAUGGUCUGCAGGACAGUGCCUCCCAGCAUGCCUAACCAUAUUCC